rnacentral:rRNA from 1 species
AACGAACGCUGGCGGCAUGCCUAACACAUGCAAGUCGAACGAGAACUUCGGGUCUAGUGGCGCACGGGUGCGUAACGCGUGGGAACCUGCCCUUAGGUUCGGAAUAACUCCCCGAAAGGGGUGCUAAUACCGGAUAAUGUCUUCGGACCAAAGAUUUAUCGCCUUUGGAUGGGCCCGCGUUGGAUUAGCUAGUUGGUAGGGUAAAAGCCUACCAAGGCGACGAUCCAUAGCUGGUCUGAGAGGAUGAUCAGCCACACUGGGACUGAGACACGGCCCAGACUCCUACGGGAGGCAGCAGUGGGGAAUAUUGGACAAUGGGCUGAAGCCUGAUCCAGCAAUGCCGCGUGAGUGAUGAAGGCCUUAGGGUUGUAAAGCUCUUUUACCCGUGAUGAUAAUGACAGUACCGGGAGAAUAAGCUCCGGCUAACUCCGUG